rnacentral:rRNA from 1 species
UGGGGAAUAUUGCACAAUGGGGGAAACCCUGAUGCAGCCAUGCCGCGUGUGUGAAGAAGGCCUUCGGGUUGUAAAGCACUUUCAGUUGUGAGGAAAAGUUAGUAGUUAAUACCUGCUAGCCGUGACGUUAACAACAGAAGAAGCACCGGCUAACUCCGUGCCAGCAGCCGCGGUAAUACGGAGGGUGCGAGCGUUAAUCGGAAUUACUGGGCGUAAAGCGCACGCAGGCGGUUUGUUAAGCUAGAUGUGAAAGCCCCGGGCUCAACCUGGGAUAGUCAUUUAGAACUGGCAGACUAGAGUCUUGGAGAGGGGAGUGGAAUUCCAGGUGUAGCGGUGAAAUGCGUAGAUAUCUGGAGGAACAUCAGUGGCGAAGGCGACUCCCUGGCCAAAGACUGACGCUCAUGUGCGAAAGUGUGGGUAGCGAACAGG